rnacentral:rRNA from 1 species
UAUAAGCGAUUAUACAGCGAAACUGCGAAUGGCUCAUUAUAUAAGUUAUCGUUUAUUUGAUAGUACCUUACUACUUGGAUAACCGUGGUAAUUCUAGAGCUAAUACAUGCUGAAAAUCCCGACUUCGGAAGGGAUGUAUUUAUUAGAUUCAAAACCAAUGCCCUCUGGGCUUCACUGGUGAAUCAUGAUAACUGCUCGAAUCGCACGGCCUUGUGCCGGCGAUGGUUCAUUCAAAUUUCUUCCCUAUCAACUUUCGAUGUUUGGGUAGUGGCCAAACAUGGUUGCAACGGGUAACGGAGGGUCAGGGCUCGACCCCGGAGAAGGAGCCUGAGAAACGGCUACUACAUCCAAGGAAGGCAGCAGGCGCGCAAAUUACCCAAUCCCGACACGGGGAGGUAGUGACAAUAAAUACUGAUACAGGGCUCUUUUGGGUCUUGUAAUUGGAAUGAGUACAAUUUAAAUCCCUUAACGAGGAACAAUUGGAGGGCAAGUCUGGUGAACGUUGCUGGCGCCAGAGAGAGUCGCCCCUCUGGAAAGCGACUAGUCGAGCGCCCGUCACGCGACGGGUGGGCGCCGGCGAGACAACUUGGAUCGGGGAAGGCUUUAGGGCCCUGGGCCUACGCCGAUCCCGAGCAGAGCCCUCCGGGCCUGUGUAGAGCGCGCCAAGGUGUCGGUCCCGGGCGAGUCCCGGGGCUUAAGGUACGUGCCAAUCCCCCGCGAAAGCGGGGCCCUCCGGAAUAGCACCCGUCGUGCGAAGCCGCAGGGAGGUCUCCUUCCCGCGGAGGAGACCGCGAGACACAGCAGCGGUCGCCCGGGCGUGUGACUUGCCUGCCUGUGCCUGAAAAAUGGGCCAGCAGC